CGCCAGUGUUCGGGGCCGUUUUGGUGGCUAGGCGGGAUUGGCCGGAGCUGCGGUGCUCGCGCUCGCCUCGCCGACCGCCAUUUCACAUCCUGCGAAGGAGGCGGGGGCAGCCGUGGAGACGGCUUUUCACAAGCAUCUGAAACUUGCCUGUUGUACCAGAUCUAGUUCAGUUCCUGCCUCCAGCCCGGAGCCUUGCCUGAAAACUGAAGUUCUCACUGAGAUCUUCCCUCUGGGACCAUCUGAAGCCCUAUUCUUAUGCAGCUUUUAUGGCAUUUGGAUAUGUCAUCAUACGCCAUCAUUUAUUCACUGAUUUUUUCCAUUUCAAGGGACACAUACUCUCUUCAGCUCCCUGCACAGCGCCUAGCAUAGUGGUGAACACGUGUGAACGCUUUGUGUUAGAAGGGAGUUAAAUUGACAUAGCCUUUUCAUCAUUUCUUCUAUUAUUCCGUUGAAAGCUAGAGUUUGCAUUAUUACUUUUUUAUUUCUCCAUUACCUAUGUGUCCCUCAGUGACCUAGAAGCAUCCAGAGUGAGCUGCAAGUUGGAUCACUCCUGGAAUAGACUCAUCACUUGUAUUUUUUGGCUUGGGACAUCACCAUUCUGGACCAACCAUGGAAAAUGGGAGACAAAUUACAUCCUUUAUGAUUGCAGUCAUUAGGGAAUUACCAAUGAGUAUAAAGAGGAAAAAACAAGUAAUGGAACCGAGAAAGAAAAUACAGAAAAGGGCGAGAGGAAAAGAGACAAGGAAGAGGGCAAAAAAAUAAAUAAAAACCAACUUCACAAAAACAAUCCACCAAUCUUAGUCUCUGAUAUAAAUAUAUUUCCCUUUUUAAUGACACAACAUAAAGGCUCCUUGCCUGUGCAUUUUGUAGACAAUGACUUGCAUAUCCUAAUAACCUCAGCUUUUUAGGGAAUUGUAUGCGGAAAGAUGUACCUUUCCAGAGUGAAUUAGGAUUAAGCUGGGGAGGCUGUGACUUUGGGGGAAAGCAAAAGCAAAAACCUCGGCAACACUGGUGCAUUGUGUGCGGCAGUAAGAAAUGACAGCUCGGAAUGAGGCAGGCUUCUCUCUCAUGUGAUCAGCUUGCUAUGCCCUCAAUGAGUCCAUGAGAUUUCGUGUUUUAUAGGUUGAGCUUCCCACUGGCAGCAGCUGAAGCAGUUCAUUAUGCACAUCUGUCACGUGAUCCACUUCAUCAACCAAAUGGAACUGGGAGAAUAAGUCACCCUAACAAGAUCCUUCAGUACACUCUUAAAAACUACUUACAGAUGUACUCUUCCUCUGAAGGGAUACAAUGAGUUUCCUUGUGCUGUGCCACAUGAUACAGGAAAUGCAUUAUCCCCAUCCAAAUUCAGACAUACCAGGAGGAAGCACGUGAAAAGAAAGCAGCUCACAAAAGCACACACAGCUUUUGCAAAAGUCCUGAGAGGGGCUCAUACACCAAUUUAUGAUAACGGCAGAUAAAAUCCCAGUCCUCUGAAGCUCGGUUCAUUACAAAUGCUAAUGUCCACACAGGGAAAGGAAACCGCAUCAGUAUUCAGCAUCGACACAAACACUGCUAAUGCUUUUUAUUUAUGGUUGCCACUGAGUCCCCUCAGCAGUAUGCCAGAUCUCCAUUUGUGUAGUAACUUUAACUACUUUAUGGGCUUUCAUGACCAGCUAUGUCAUGUACCCAUAGGCGAUUUGCGCUUUCAAACCGUGUCUGGUGAGAUAAGCAGCCACACACACUUCCGAUCUCGAAUCGGCAGUUUCAUUCACAUUCAGAGCAGGUGCAAUGAAUGUUUUUGUGGCUGCGUCUGGGAUCAGAUUCACCUGCCAUUGUUAAAUCUUCCUAUUUCAGUUGGUGUGAUCAAUUUAUGAUUCAUUCAGUCAGACGACACCUAUUUACUGAAUACCUACCAUGUGCCAGGCACUGUGCCAGGCACUGGAGAUACAACAGUAAACAGACAGAGUCCUACCAUCGUCAACGUACAUUCUCGAGGGGGAGGCGCAAGGCAGUAAACAAAUAAAUAUGUACUAUAUCAGAGAGUCUGUCAGGAUACGCUAGCUAUUUGGGGGCAAUAAUCAACCCAAGGUAUCAGUGGCUUCAAACAACAGUUUCUCACUUAUAUUGCAUGUUCGUUGCAUGUCAGCUGGGGGCUCUGUGCACCUUUACUCUGAAGCCCAGGCUGUCUGGAGAACCAUCCGCCGGAGUAUGGCUAGACUCCAGGGGAGAGGGAGAAGAUAGAGUGGUGAAUUGUACACUGGAUCUUAAAGCUUAUGCCUGGAAGUGACACAUGGCACUUCUCACAUGUCCCUGGACACAGCAAGUCACAGGGCUGCGUCCAACUUCAAAAGGCUAAUGAGAAAAGAACUGGGCCAACUGAACACACAGAUGAUGCGUUCAUGCAAAGGGAAGGCCAAAGACCUCGUGGCACCAGCAUGAAUGAAGUUUUACAGUCGUUCAAAGAGAAAAAUGGAGAGAAAAUUGAGUCAUUACAGGUCUCAUGGUAGCAUGAGUUGGAUUCAAAAGAAACUAGGCAAAUCAGUCACUUAAUUCAGAUUAUAAGCAGAUGUGUUGGUUUGAUUCUGUGUUUUUAUGACAUACCAGCUUGCAAACAUUCUCCAUGAAGAACUUUUUGUUAGGAGCUUUUUUAAAAAAAUGAUCUAUCAAUACCACAUUUUGGAGAGAAACAUUUUAAAAUCAGCUGGACCAAUUAAAAUAAACACCUGAUAGUUUCAAAUGAGUAACCUGAGGGGCGCCUGGGUGACUCAGUUGGUUAAGUGUGGGACUUCAGCUUAGGUCUUGAUCUCAAGGCUUGUGGGUUCGAGCCCUGCCUUGGGCUCUGUGCUAAGAGCUCAGAGCCUGGAGCCUGCUUUGGAUUCUGUGUCUCCCUCUCUCUCUGCCCCACCCCCGCUCACGCUUUCUCUCUCUCAAAAAGAAGUAAACAUUAAAAAAAUGAGUAACCCGAUGGGAGGAAAAAUUGUAACAAUAACAAUUGUGAGUCAAAGACUGUCCAUCACGUUCCACAAAUAUUUAAGUCAACAAUUGAAAGAUAAAGUGCAUAAAAGCAUCUCCUUAUGCUUUUUUAAUUACAUGUAUAAAUUAAACCUAACAUUGGUUAUUUAGUUUCAGCAAACUGUUACCAUUUUCAUACUAAAUUAUUUUUUUAUUUGAA